UAGGGAAUUUUCGGCAAUGGGCGCAAGCCUGACCGAGCAACGCCGCGUGAGGGAUGAAGGUUUUCGGAUCGUAAACCUCUGUCUAGAGGGAAGAUAAUGACGGUACCUCUGGAGGAAGCCACGGCUAACUACGUG
rnacentral:rRNA from 1 species